rnacentral:lncRNA from 1 species
AAUGAAGCAAUUCAAAUAAAUAUCUAUCUAUAUAUAUAGAUAAUCUAUUUAAUCUAAUCGAUAAAAUAAUAUGCACUAAUAUUCAUAUGUUUAAUGAAUAAUUGAAUAGCGGGAUUUUUUGAGAUUUCAUAGAAUCUAUUCCAAAUUUUUAUAUUUUGUUUUGAUAUAGAAUGGAAUAUGUAUUCUUAUAAAUAAACCAUUUUUUUUUACAUAUAUAACUAAAGAAUCUUAUUUUGUUCUAUUAUUUGUUAUUUCCAUUAAAUGACUAGAAAGCUUGGUGCUGUCAUUGAAGAUGACGAGAUAGAAGCUUAUGUGGAGGAUAUCGCCCAUGCUACUUGCGAGACACAUCCACGGCCUUGUGUCGCCCAUGGCU